CUGGUCUCAAUCCUUUAAACACUAACUUUAGUCCAUUCAUGGGUAAAGGUGGAUAAUUUCAGCAUCUAAUUAACAAGUGUGUGGUGGGAAGUAUGUUACACUCUUGAGGUUUGUACUACACAAUAUACCAUACUACUGACGAGUGACAGUCUGUAUUUCACAGACCACAGUUGAACAAUCUAUACAAUCAUUUGUAAAAAUAACCAAGUCUUGUUACAAAAAUGGGUGUUAUAUUUGGUAUCUCUCUCCUCACUCCCUCCAGCUACCACCUCCCACAUCCCAGCUGUCUCCUGGUCCUGUGAGGGAUUUUGUUUCUCUGAAAAGCUUUAGUAGCUUCUCUAUUCUGUCCUUUUCUCUAAAGAAAUCUCAAUGUUAACAGAAACGAAAAUGGACGGCCAUAUGUCACAAGAGAAUGAAAUUUCUGCUCCCAAUCCCUGUCUUCAGAGCUGACCUAGAAGCCAGCCACUCCACUCAGACCAAUUCAGAUCACUAUGUUUGUGAGGACUUUAACAGCAUCAAGACUAACUCUGGACUGUACAUGAACACCAGCAUAUGAAGAGGAAGGAAACUGAAAAAUGUUAUACACUGGAGGGUUGGCUUUAUUGUGGCUAUCUUU
rnacentral:lncRNA from 1 species